CCCUGGAUUGUUCUUGUGGUAAUAAAUGGUUUUAGGAUCUCUGAACAAAGACCCAUCCCUCGCCUCCUUCAUCAGCUGUUUUAAGUGUGCCCUGGGCCCUGAAAGUGCAGGUCACUCUCUGGGAUUUGUUGAAGAGCACUGCUUCAAUGGAACAUUCAAAAUCUAAAGGCAUUGACCAGCCUGUGCUUUGUGAGUUUUGAUGCUCUUCCCUCUUUCCUUGCUCAAAGGAAACCUGUUUGUGUUUGGACAUCUGGGGAAGAUGAUACAAAGCCAGCAAGAUUUCCUGUUGGCCCGUGGAAAAGCACCUGCCUGGGUAGCAGGAGGCUGGCAAACCACAGAUACAAAAAUGGAUGUGACAAGUUCUGCGCUGAACAUCCAUUGGUGAAGUUAA